AGCUGUUGCUGGACGAACUUCUCGACUCCUUCUUCAAUACUGGCAUCUUAGCCAGGGCCGUCAACUCGAUAUUAGCCUCGGCGCUGGCGAUUUCAUUGGUGGCGCGGCAAGUGUACUGGCCUAAAUCGUGCUCCUGCACCCGGGUUCGCCCACGCCAUUGCUCGCCUCGCACGUGUACAGUCCAGCCAAGCUCCUAUUGGUGGCAUGAAUCCUCAGCUUCUGGCCAGACGCGAGGACCGGCAGCUCCACACCUUGGAAGCUCCAUGCAAGUACGGGCUUGGGCACACCUUCGGACAGACACGUCAUCACGGCCUCCUCGCCGAGUGCAACUUCGAUUUGGCCCGUUUCCGGGAUUGGUUUUGCGCUCGCUGGAUCUGUGCAAACGAGGCCGGGACUUCUUGCGGGAAUAAUGCGUGCCAGGCUGUUUUUCACGCUGGCCUUCCAGAAUCAAUCGGCCAUCCCGAUGAAAACGAAGCAGCAGUAGAUUUAUUUAGCAAACAAACGAGUUUUUUCUCGUUUCUUCUCUUCUUAUUCCUGUCUCGUUUCGAACUUGCAAGUUUAAUUAUCGGAGGGAAACAACGCAUUUUUCGCUCCCCUUGCUUGCAUUAAUAACUACGUAAUGUUUAUUAAGAUUUCAGAGAUCGGCAGGUUGCAAUUUUCCAGAGGAGAAUAAGUGUUGACUUUCAACAAGAUCCUGCUCUCUGCGAAAAUGAAGUAAGGGCCAGUAAAGCCUGCAGCGCGGGACCUUCAAGUCGGCGAAAACCAAGCAGAAGAGAGAGAGAGAGAGAGAGAGAGAGAGAGAGAGAGAGAGAGAGUGAGAGAAAGAGAUUGCCGGCUGGAUUUGGGGGAGGGAGAAACGCGAAAGUUG